UUGUUGGCCAUGGAUGAUACACCAUUACACAAUGAGCCAAAGUGAAGAGCCGAGAUAGUUUUAUUCAUUAGAUUGGUGGAUUUGAGGAGAUUGCUUGCAGAUCAAACUCAAAAGGCCAAGGUUUUCAACAGUUGAUUCAGUAGGAGUUGAUGAGUAUGAGGAAUCAGAAGUAGAAGGCACUUUCACACCUGGUCGACAUAACUACAUCAUCAUGUACUUACUAAGAGAGAAGGGUUUCAAUGGCUUUUGUCGACAUAAUUACAUCAUCAGCGGUUUUCUUGUGUUUUCUUGCAUGUGUAUAUGAUUCAGCUGCUGAUCAGUUUGGAAAUCGUUGACGAGGUGUUGAACAGCUGAUUCAGAAGGAGUUAACGAGUCUGAGGAAUCCGAAUUAAAAGGAACUACACAUGGAGCGUCUUAGAGGGUGAAGAAGAUCGAAUCAAUCCUAAUAGCAACAAAGAAGAAGCCAUACACUUUACAGUAAGGCUUGGCUUGGUCACCUAUGAAAUUUCGGCUACUACUAACUUUUGGUUGGCGAGAGUAUAUGAUCCUAUCUUGGCCAAGAAAGAUGAUUCGCUCGCCUACAACCAUGUUGCUACAUUGAAAACUAACAAGUUACCAUGGAAGAUACACAAGGAGCCAAGUGAAGAGCCGAGAUGUUUGUUCAAUAGACUGGUGGACUCAAGGAGGCUGCUUGCAGAUCAAACGCAAAGGCCAAGAUUGUAGACGAUGAGCUAGUGAAAUUGAUGGCUGGAGGAGAACUAUCUGACUACACUUUGCUAACUCAGUUCCUACAUAAGUAUGGUUGGCUAAUCUCCAAGGAGUUGGAAAGACAACGGUGUGCGCUAAACUAGCUUUUUACUUACAGAAGCAGCAGGUAAUGCGUUUUCAAAAUACAGUGGAGAUAUUUUUAUUUCAAUGUAGAGAUAAGAAUCACAUGAGCCAUUUUGACAAAGCUAGAUGGUGAUUUCAAGAGCUGCUGCUGCUUUGAGUGUGAAGGAGGAAGCAAGCAGAAAGUUUUUGUCUUCAUGAAAAUCCUGUAGGCUUCAGAUGCAGAGCCUCUUGUUUAAGGUGGCAAUGCAGGAAGCCUGAUGCCGCAAGUGCAAAGGUUUAUUCCGGAACAGCAGUUGUUAGGUCUUGUCUUGGCUGGAGAAGUAGCGGAAUUCGAGAGAUUGAGAGGAAGCAUAGACGAAGUAGA